rnacentral:rRNA from 1 species
CCUACGGGUGGCAGCAGUGGGGAAUAUUGCACAAUGGGGGAAACCCUGAUGCAGCGACGCCGCGUGCGUGAAGACGUAAUUCGUUAUGUAAAGCUCUAUCAGCAGGGAAGAAAAUGACGGUACCUGAGUAAGAAGCCCCGGCUAACUACGUGCCAGCAGCCGCGGUUAUACGGAGGGGGCAAGCGUUAUCCGGAUUUACUGGGUGUAAGGGGAGUGUAGACGGCAGUGCAAGUCUGGAGUGAAGGGCGGGGGCUCAACCCCCGGACUGCUCUGGAAACUGUACGGCUGGAGUGCAGUAGAGGUAGGUGGAAUGCCUGGUGUAGCGGUGAAAUGCGUAGAGAUUAGGAGGAACACCAGUGGCGAAGGCGGCUUACUGGACUGUAACUGACGUUGAGGCUCGAAAGCGUGGGGAGCAAACAGGAUUAGAUACCCUAGUAGUC